CAGCAGUCCACAAAAGCAUACAUGUGGAAGAUAGCAGCACCAGGCUGACAGUCAGACAGAUUACUUGUUGAGAUUAAUUUUGGAUGAUUGUAUGAGGAGCUUGGGGGUUCCUCAAAAUCUACCAAACAGUCAGAAAGGUUUUAUUUUAAUGGAAUUUAGGUACUAAAGUGACUUGCAUUGAGGCUAUAGGGUCCUUUCUGAAGUUAGGUUCUUCAGGAUCUUCUCCAAGAAACAAGAUAAGGCACCAGGAUGGACAGGUAGCAGCCAAGAGGGUGUCAAACACUGUCAGCUCGAGCAACAGAGGGUGACAGCUUCUCAAUGCUGAUAUAUGGGGCUACUUUCUCCAGCCCUAAUGGCUCUACAGAUGUCUUGAAAAGAGAAGAGAAGCGAUGGAGAACAAGAAAAAGACCCAGAGCUUGUCCGGCUUAUUCUCCUGGAUCUUCUGGAUGUGUGGAGUCUGCAAGAUCCUGGGCUCAGCCUCAUCUCCAGCUCCCUCUGUUACACAGUGUGAACUGCUGGAGCAUGCAAACAUCACCUGCUACUGGACAGCGGCCGGUUCGGACAGCACCAUCUACAUUCUGUCAGUCAACAUGACAAGCUGUUUGAAUUCUACAAACUACAAGCCCAUUGGUUUCUGCACUACAGCACACACUCAGUGUUCAGUGAGCAUUGGCUCAGUGUCUCACUGCUUCUGCGUGGAUGUUCUAGCAUCUUCUCCUUCUGGAACCAUCAGAUCAGCUCGCCAUUGUCUAGUCGGCGUCAAUGAAGUUAAGAUGUACCCACCACAGAUCACAAAGCUCAUCCCAAUACCAAGAAAAGCAAACUGUCUGAGGCUGGAGUGGACUGAAGACACGUCUAUCUAUUUGCAAACUAAAAAGGAACAUGGUGUCCUACAGAUAGAGUACAGCACCUCUCAUCAGGACCAGGCCAGCAGAGUCAGCACUGCCUUUCAUGACUGGAAAAUGGAGCUGUGUGGGUUAUAUCCCGGCACCAAGCACUACGUGAGGGUCCGAGCGCAGGACAGCAGAGCCCCCAAGCACUGGAGCUCCUGGAGCGGCGUCAGAGAGGCCACCACAGCGGAGGCUGCCCCAUCAGCCACCCCAGAGCUAUGGCGGCACAUCCAGCCAUCAGACAAAACAGGACAGAGGCACAUCACCUUACUCUGGAAGGUAAAUCCAAAGUCACCUGACUCGCAAGCUCUCACAAGCACAGGUGAAAACAAAUAGUGAAAACAAAAACAGACCUGAGGACAUGUUAUAUUAACUUCAAAG
rnacentral:lncRNA from 1 species